CGGUAGCACAGAGAGCUUGCUCUCGGGUGACGAGUGGCGGACGGGUGAGUAAUGUCUGGGGAUCUGCCCGAUAGAGGGGGAUAACCACUGGAAACGGUGGCUAAUACCGCAUAACGUCGCAAGACCAAAGAGGGGGACCUYCGGGCCUCUCACUAUCGGAUGAACCCAGAUGGGAUUAGCUAGUAGGCGGGGUAAUGGCCCACCUAGGCGACGAUCCCUAGCUGGUCUGAGAGGAUGACCAGCCACACUGGAACUGAGACACGGUCCAGACUCCUACGGGAGGCAGCAGUGGGGAAUAUAGCACAAUGGGCGCAAGCUGAUGCAGCCAUGCCGCGUGUAUGAAGAAGGCCUUCGGGUUGUAAAGUACUUUCAGCGGGGAGGAAGGCGACGGGGUUAAUAACCCUGUCGAUUGACGUUACCCGCAGAAGAAGCACCGGCUAACUCCGUGCCAGCAGCCGCGGUAAUACGGAGGGUGCAAGCGUUAAUCGGAAUUACUGGGCGUAAAGCGCACGCAGGCGGUCUGUUAAGUCAGAUGUGAAAUCCCCGGGCUUAACCUGGGAACUGCAUUUGAAACUGGCAGGCUUGAGUCUUGUAGAGGG
rnacentral:rRNA from 1 species